UUUCCCCUAUGUUUUCUUCUUUUUUCUCCCUUUUUGCUAUCUUUAUCUGUCAAUCGUAAUCAUCCAUUAUCUCUUGAAUUUGAGCGGAACCCUAAUGGCUUAGAUGCCACUAUAAAUAGAACAUUAAAUGUUCUCACCAAACACACCGGAACACACCAAAGAAUUCACUGAAAAUACAAAGAAGAGCAUUAAAAUUUAAGAGCUUUCUGCUAAGUUUAAGUGCCUAAAAGCAUUUAUCUAAUUUUUCUUUCCUUUCAUUCAUGCUCAAGUUCAAACUGUUGUGGGUUGGUUGUAAGUUUGGAUUCUUAAAUGGUCGCUAAACACUCCUUAGUUGGUUUGCUGCUUCAAAGAAGGUUAGUGUACACUGACCCUCUCCCUUUUAUUUCUUAAAUUUGUUAUGUAGUUUUGUGUUCGUGAUACUUCCAUGUUAAUCACCUGCUAUUCAUGAUAUUAUGUGGUUCUUUCUUUAUGUCCUUCUAUUCAUGUCAUCAUAUUCUUUUGAGAUUAGUGGCAUCUCCCGAUAGUCAUGUUGUCUUGUGUUGUUAUUCAAUCUGUGAUGGUUAUUGAACUUUGCCUCUCAUGACAUAGCUAGUUAAAAUGUUUCUUUCAUGUUUUUAUUUGUAUGGAUAAAUCCGUUAAGCCUGUAUGAUUAGCGAAUCAAACCUUGUGUUAAUGAUAUUAUGUGUGAUCUAUACCUGCAAAUUAAUUAAUUUCCAUAUGUAUACCAUCAUAUUAACUAAGUUGAGUGAAUCGAGCUUUUGAACCUCUCUUGGUGUCAUGUUAAUACCUGCUGCAUUAUGCUAUCUUAAUCAUUAUGUUUGUGAUAUUGUGUUAGCAUUGUGUUAGUUUAAUGAAAUGAAUCUCACCAAUGUUCAUACUCUCAUGGUGAUCUGUUUUACUCUAAUUGACAGCUUGCUUAUAAUACUGUGAUAAAAUAAUUCAUGUGUGUGUUUAUUAUGAUUUGAAAUAAAUAAAAUCAUAUGAUGAACCUUGUCGGUAUAUUAGUUUGUCUGCUCACAUAUCUGGAUGCAACUUGUUGGGGUCAACCAUGUAAUGAGGGUCACUAUUUUCCAUCUCAUAACUGUCUGAACUCAGUGGUAGUAACUACAUGAAACCUGUAUUGUUGUAUUGAUCGAAUGACACUUAUUGACUUAUAUACUUGUGCUUACGUCUAUCAUAUUGUCUUUGUUAGUCAAGUUAUGUUUAUGAACCUUUACAUGCCUUAUCUUGAGAAAACUUUAUGCUUAAAUAACUGUGUUAACUAGCUAAGACCCUUAUGCCAGCACCAUUAUGUUUACCUCAAUCCUUAAGAUCAUGAGAUGUAUUCUAGACUAUUCACUUAUCCUUAUUGAUGAUUCUGCGCAUGCUCCUACGUUAAUCAGCUUACCUAAAUAACUCUAGACUUGAUCAAGAUACUAUGUUAUUCUGAUAGAAUGAUUUAUAAGUGCCUAUCAUGAAAACCUACAUAUAUAAAAAUCAUGUACUAAAUUUGUUGGCAUACUUUUUUAGUAAACUUGUCCACAUAUCUAAAAUGAAAACAUGUUGUGAUCUUCUUGCUUUAGCCUUACCAAUUAAUAAUAAGUGUCAUUAUUUGUUAUCUCAUGAUUGUAUGACAUCACUGAUAUAGAAGUACUCUCUCAUGAAUUUGAGUGUUGUGUGUUUCUGGUAAUUUGUAAACCUGAUAGACUAUGUAUUAUCACAACUAGAUACCAUGUCCAUUAGGUAUAAACAAACACUAAACUAGUUUUCCCAUUUAUAUUGAUGUAUCUACUGAUAUGGUUAAUUGAUGUACUCUUUGGGAAGUCUGAGUGAAGUUAUUAACAUGAGUGUUUAAUGAAUAAAAUUUCAGAUAUGUGCAUACUUGUUAAAACUACUCUGAAAGUUGUCACAGUAUUUUGUAACUUGUUCUAAGUAAUCUGAACAUCCUUAGAUAAGGUUUUGAAGUAGUGAAUUUUAGGGAGGAUAAUAGAAUAAGUAUCAUGUUCACCUUUGACAACUACUAAUACAUUAGACUGCUUAACAUGACAUCCCUGAUAUUAAAAUUGUAAAUGGAGCAUAUCUAUUGGUAGCAUGUAAUCAGCCAUUUAUGUUUUACAACUUCUGUUUGACUAAAACUUAGUAGCGAUCCUCUUAAGUAUCGUGUACAUGUAAUGAUCAACCUCGGGGUCUUAGAUAUCAUUAGAACCCUAAAGGUCUACCUGCAAUGAUUUAUCUUUAAACUCAGUGUUCUAAUAAACGGUCUUAAAGUCAAUGUUGUGUUGGUUCUGAGCUGCUUAUGCCUUGUACUCUAGUGAUAGUUGUUGUUGGCUAUGUGAAACUACUAAGUUGACACUUUGUUUUUAUCCAAACCUUUGAGGAAGAGUAGGAGUUGAUUAUCAAGGGUAUUUGGGUGUGAGCUUGGUUUGUGGUUAAGGUACCCCUCCCAGGCACAACCACUGCUGGGGUCCAUAAGACUAACUGAAACCUGAAAUGUUAGGUCAAUAAGGGAACUUCAUUUAUAAAUGUAGUUUACCCUAAGCCUUUGGUCACUAACUUCAAUUAAUCUGUCAUAGGGUUAGCACAAAUAAAAAUAACUUUGCUGCAUUCCUCAGCUCUUUUGUUAUUAUUACAUGUUAUGUUUUUAUCUUAUUUCACCCUAUAUUUAUGUGCACUAAUUAUUAUCUUUCCUCUUUUAUAUGCAUGUUCGAUUGGGCCUGAUGAGUUUUACCUGGAACUCAGGCCCAAGAUCCAGAACUGGGCUACUUUCCCGCUUGUUAGAGUCUGCCGCUACUAUAGUCAAACUAGGCCUGGCUUGCUUGCCAGCCCAAUCUUAAGAGUCCAGAUUGAGCUGAGUUGUUUGAAGAAUUGGAAGGUAUCAAAGACUCAACAGAGUUAAGGUCCUGAUAGACAGCUUGAUAGACCUUUGCAGUAGACAGAGUUAGACAUCAGCUUGGUUGAUUCGAGUCUCUCUAAGAAGGAUUCGCGAGGCAAGGAUUUUUUGGAGUAUUUAUUUGCCCGCUUUGAGGUGUCGGGACCAGUCAUCAUUAGCGGAGUUGCUUGUUGAGCUGAGUUUCGAGAGACAAGGUAGAUUUGCAUUCUCGCCCGCAGUCUUUGUGUCUCAUCUCUUAUGCACUAUUAUCUUCAUUUCAUACAGUGUUAUAUUAGGUCAUUUCAGACUUGUAUUUUUGUAUUAGAGCUCAUGGCUCUGUAUUUACUAGUUUCUAGGGGAUUUAUCCUGUAUUAGAACUAAUUCAUUAUAUUGAGGUUUCAGACUUAUGCUAUUUCUUUAAAUUCUA